GACGAACGCUGGCGGCGUGCCUAAUACAUGCAAGUCGAGCGAAUGGAAGGGAGCUUGCUCCCUGAAGUUAGCGGCGGACGGGUGAGUAACACGUGGGCAACCUGCCUGUAAGACUGGGAUAACUUCGGGAAACCGGAGCUAAUACCGGAUACGUUCUUUCCUCGCAUGAGGAAAGAUGGAAAGAUGGUUUCGGCUAUCACUUACAGAUGGGCCCGCGGCGCAUUAGCUAGUUGGUGGGGUAAUGGCCUACCAAGGCGACGAUGCGUAGCCGACCUGGGAGGGUGAUCGGCCACACUGGGACUGGGACACGGCCCAGACUCCUACGGGAGGCAGCAGUAGGGAAUCUUCCGCAAUGGACGAAAGUCUGACGGAGCAACGCCGCGUGAGCGAAGAAGGCCUUCGGGUCGUAAAGCUCUGUUGUCAGGGAAGAACAAGUGCCAGAGUAACUGCUGGCACCUUGACGGUACCUGACCAGAAAGCCACGGCUAACUACGUGCCAGCCGCCGCGGUAAGAC
rnacentral:rRNA from 1 species